GGGCUUUAGACCGAGGGGGAGGGGCUUCAGCCCACGUCUCUGCUCCUGCCCUGGCCCGCGGGGGUUGCCGGGGCUCCCCUCGGCUCCGUUCCCAGUUUCAGCGAGCGGCGCCAGGACUUGGGACUUUAGCUACAGUGGGAGUGCUGGGGUGCUCCCCUGCUAGCUAAAGCCCUGAGCCCCGGCGCCCUACCCGGGGCUGAAGCUAGGAGCCCCAUCCCUCCCGCCCCUAAAGCUCUGAACCCUGCUGCUCCCGAGGGUCAGAAGCCCCGAGUCCCCCCAGCCCUGAUUCUCCCACCCUGCGGCUGUGGCCUCAACCCCCUUGGCUGAAGCCCUGAGCCCCAGGCAGUACGGUAUUUGGGGGGGGUAUUUUUUGUUGUUGUUCUGCGCUGCUGCCUGCCUGAUUUAUUGAGGACUUCCGGUUCCAGAGGGUGUCCGGUUGACCGGGACGGCCUCUCCCAGUUGCUCCUCCCCUUGGAUUUACCUGCAGAGAAAGGCAGGAAGGCCUCUCGCUUCACAAACUCCCCAUCUGCAUCCAGGAAGUGCUCCGGGUAGAACUGGUGCGGCUUCUCCCAAACCGUUUCAUCCUUCAGCACCGAGGACAAGUUAGUGAUGACUGUCGUCCCCUGAUCCACCCCAGAGAAGAAACGGGAUAUCCAAAGACCUGUUGAAGAUGGAGCUAGCCACAUAAACAAGGCUCUCUGAGGCCCAAGCCCUUUCAAAACUGCACAUUUGAUAACUCGCCAAUGGUUGUGAGAUUCAGGGCCUGGUGCUCCACCCCCCUCUGCAUGGAACCUUGGGGAGAUUCACAUAUGGAAUGUCUGCAGCUUCAGGAGAUAAGUCUGCAAGGGGAGAAGAUGUCUGCAUCCCCUGCCUGGCCAUAGAUACCUUUGGAAUGAAGUAGCCUUGGAGCUCGGUGUCCCGGUAUGUCAUGUGAGGCAAUCCAACAGGAACAAUAUCCCCAUAACGUUGAGUUUCAUGGAUCACAGCAUUGGUAUAAGGCAUGUUCGCUUGGUCCUCCAUCUGGGGUGACCUGUCCCUGCCAAUCACCUUAUCAAUUU